ACAUUUUCUUUUCUUUCUUUUUCUUUUCUUUCUUUCCUUUUUUUUUAAGAGGCAUCCAAAUUGUUUUAACAAGUUACUACAAAACAUGGGCUUCCCGAGGUGAGGCUGUUUUGCACAGUGUGUGUACUGUACAAAGAUCCAGGGAGGGAGGGAUCAGAAAGUUAGAGUCAUUAAAAAAAAAAAAAAAAAAAAAGCCCCAGGCACUUAAUGCCUGGAAAUGAUGUAAGACGCAGCCACUCCUCUGUUAGAACUACAACCAAACAAUGCUCCGGCCAUCCACAGCAGCUGCUCUCCAAAUGUCAGCGCCAGUCCCAGUCAAAAAAGCUUGAAAUCUACCAGGCUGAAGGACUUGGUGCUGUGCCCUGGUCUCCCACAUUUUCCCUGAGCGUUCUCAGGAACCUGGCAACAGCCAGCUGCUUCUCCCCCCCAACACCGGCCCCACACCCAACCCCCAUCCCUCCCACUCCAAAGUCUGAGAAAACAAAGUAUUGCUGCGGGCAACCCUACUCUCGACAGUCCCCUUGUGGCCAAACCUGGAACAACACGUACAUACUCAAUGGCCGCUCGGCAGCAAGAUGUCACCACAAUCCUUAGAACACAUGCGUCACAUGGUUGUACUAUGGCUAAUACUUGUUGCAUGAAGGAACAAAUAAGAAUGAAAAGAGUCUUCCUAGAGAAGAAGGAAAAUGGAUCAACAAUCCAGAAAGAAAAGUAAAAGGAAUAAAUAGCAGAGCCAUCUUCUGUGACCUGGGAUGUCACAAUACAGUCCGUCCUCUAUAUCCAUGGGUUCUGCGUCUACAGGUUUAACCAACUAUCAAUCAAAAAUAUUUGAGAGGGCUGGGGUUGGGGCUCAGUGGUAGAGCGCUUGCCUAGCAUGUGUGAGGCACUGGGUUCGAUUCUCAGAACCACAUAUAAGUAAGUAACUCCCAUUGACAACUAAAUUUUUUUUUUAAAUUUUGAGAAAAAUCACACGUUUACAGACCUUUUUCCACAUUAUUGUUUCCUAAACAAUACUGUGGACUGGCACAGUGGUGCACACUUGUAAUCUCAGCAGCUUGGGGGGCUGAGGCAAGAGGAUCCCAAGUCUGAGGCCAGCCUCAGCAACUUAGUGAGAUCCUAUAUCCAAAAAAAAGGUUGUGGGGCUGGGGUUGAGGAUGUAGCUCACUGGUAUAGAGCACCCUGGGUUCAAUCUCCAGUACUUUGUCCCUCAAGAUACUGCAUAACAACUAUUCACAUGGCAUUUGUGUUGUAUUAAGUAUCAAAAGUAAUCUCCAGAUAUUUUGAACUAUAUGGGAGGAUGUGCAGGGGUUAUAUGAAAAUAUUGUAAAAGGGACUUAAGCAUCUGAGGACUUUGACAUUAAUGGGGGUAGAAGGUCCUGGAAUCAAUCCUUUGAAGAUACCAAGGAGCAACUGUAUUCCCACUUCUGUUUGAUAUAGGCCAAGUACUAGCCAAAUACAAUUAUGAAUGACCAACUUUUUUUUUUUUUCUCAGUAUUGGGGAUUGGACCCAGUACCGUAGCUGUUAACUCCACUACUAAGCUAAACCCCACUCUUUUUUACUUUAAAAUUUUGAGAUAGGGUCUUAGGGUCUCCCUAGGUCACCCAAGCUGGCCUUGAACUUGUGAUCCUCCUGCCUCUGCCUUUGAGAUGGCUGGAAUUAUAGGCAGCACCACCAUGCUUGGCUAGUGACUGACCAACUUUUGACAUGGAGCAAUUAUGUUAAACCCCAAUCUAAUUCCCAGUCUUGUCACAUUGGGGGUUGGGGACUUGGACUUGGUUUAGUGGUAGAACAGGAAUUUGGCACGCAUGAGACCCCAAGUUCAGUCCCCAGCAUGUGUGCAGGACACACACACACACACACAUCAACACCAGUUAGUUUAGUAGAAACUACUAAGUCACCUGUGGCUUAUUUACCUAAUGUCUAUUCUCUUUGCUGGGUGUUACCCAGGAGGGCAGGAGGGAUGGUUGUUGAGGACCCAGGAUGCUAACCACCCUUUUCCUGUAUGAUGGCUUUACUUUCUUUCUUUCUUUUCUUUUUUUUUUUUUUUAAGUUGUAGUUGGACACAGUAUCUUUAUUUUAUUUAUUUAUUUCUAUGUGGUACUGAGGAUCGUACCAAGGGUCUUGCACAUGCUAGCAAGCGCUCUACCACCAAGCCACAACCCUGGCCUUUAGCUUUACUUUUCCUUAGCUCCUUCUACUCAUUUUCUUGGACCUCUUAUCCUGUGUUCUGUCUGCUUGCAGACAAGAUGGAUAUGUGAGCGCCAAGGACCUUUUGUUCCUGCCUGUUCUGUUUCAUGGGAAUUAGCAUCACCUGCUCAGUGGAAGGAACCUGGGGUCUGAAAUAGGAGGACAGAUCUGGAUUGGAAUUAUACAACACAACCAAUCAGGCAGUGAAGACUUUCCUGCCUUGUCGCUAAGCCUGGUAAACUAAGAAGAGCUUGAGUGUCCCUACCCCUACAGCUGUACUGUACAGAGCAGCUGAGGGUUUCUACAGGGGACACAUGUAGGAUCUGCCUGGCUUCAGGAAGUGAGAGGCCUGAAUUCACACUUAAUGGGCAUCCAGUCCGCCUAAGUCCUACCUGAGAAUCCGGUGUGGAUUUACCAGUAGCCCCUCACCCGCCAACUCCCUGGGUUUGGAGAGAAGGAAGAUCUAUAACAGCAGCCAGAGGUGCCCCCUGAGCCUGGUGCUUGGAGCAAGGCUUCCCCUGGAGCUGGAGCUUCUGCCUAAGGCAAACUGGGAGCCCCAAACCUGGGAAGACAGGAUUUGUGUAAGCGCAUAAGAAAGAAACACACUGCUGUUGCUUUCAGCUACCUGGGAGUGGAAGGCCCUCCUGCAGAGGCCAAGGGGGCUCUGGGCUGUGCAGCAAGGCACCCAAUUAUUCAUCCUGCUCCUCUCCUCCUUCCUCCCUGAACCCCACCCUCCCCUUUUCAAAGGAACAACCAUCUGUGGGAUGCUGCAUCCAUCACCCACUUGGCCCAGAGAGGAUGCCAGCUCCUUACAAACCCUCCAGUAGGAUCAGUGCUUUAAAAUCAUACCACAUUGUCCAGCUGUCAUCGACAGAGGAGGACAGGAACAUUUGUCCAGGUGUCCCCUUGAGCUCUUUCUCACCCCCACAGCCAUUUAAAGUGUCCCUCAAGGCUGCAUUUAAAAUAUCACCUUACUGGGCCUGGGAGGAGCUUGGUGGGAGCCCCAUUCAAGCACCAACACAACAACAACGGAAAAAACAAAGAACAUCUCAAAAACACCUUACAGUUUGGUGUUUGUUAUUUACCAAAAUUAAAUAAAAAACCUAUGAACCAUUUAAAUAAAUUUAUUUUUAUUAUGAAAAUUUGAAACAGUAUCUCAUUAAGUUGCCCAGGCUAGCCUGGAACUUGUGAUGCUCCUGCUUUAGCCUCUCCAGUAGUUAGGAUUGUAGGCAUGUGCUCCAGAGCCCAGAUUGUCUUUUUUUUCAAUACUGAGCAUUGAGCCCAGAGCUUCAUGCAUGCGAGGCAAGUGCUAACCUAGGAAUCUCUCAAGAGUUUCAAAUUGGUAUCAACUUUCCUUUCUCAGUCCCCAUCCUCCUCCUCAUUCCUUGCCUGUUUAGUAAAGGCAUGCACUUUUGCUAGUCUCAUUAAAUUCUUAAAACAACCCUGCAGAGGAGGUUAUGAUCUAAUUCUGCAGAUGAAAAGGAGAGGUUGAUGUCCAAGUUCUCCCUGGGUGAGGCUGGCUUGGAACCUGGGUUCUUCCCACGAAAGCUUUGCUUAUCUUUGAAAGGGCUCUCUUCUGCUUUUGUCCUUAAGAUUCUCCUUUGAACCCUGUGAGAACAAUGUCCUAGCCUGUAUCUGAACCUUUCUUUGGCUAAAUGUGCUUGGAAUUCGGAGCUUGGGGGAUUUUAGAUUGUUAAUACACGGCAGACCCAGCAAUCAAGUACUUGGAGGGGUCUGCAAGAGAGGAGGUGCAGUCACACUGCAAAUAGAUCCAAGAACUGGUUUUAGGUAAAGGCUUUCAGAAAUGUGGAUGGGGUGAUGUAGAGCCUCACGCAUGCUAGGCAAGUGCUUUACAACUAAGCCUCAAGUUUCUUUUUUUUUUUUUUUCUUUUUGUGGUAUUGGGGAUUGAACCCAGGGCCUUGUGCAUGAAGGCAAGCACUCUACCAACUGAGCUAUAUCUCCAGCCCUCAAGUUUCUUUUUUAAAACUGAAAGUGAGCCUGGUGCAGUGGUCUAAGCCUGUAAUCCCAGUGAUUCUGGAGGCUGAGGAAGGAGAAUUGCAAAUUUGAAGCCAGCCUCAGCAACUUAGUGAGGCCCUAAGCAACUUAGACCCUGUCUCUAAAUAAAAAAUAAAAAAGGGCUGGGGAUAUGGCUUAAGCACCCCUGGGUUCAAUCCCCAGUACUUAAAAAAAAUAAAAAUAAAUGAAAGAAAAAGCAAAAAGAAAUGUGCAAGGAAGAAUGAUGUCCCACCCCAACCUUCCCACCCUUGGAGCAGUAAAAGCUCCCACCAGGGGACAUCUUCCUGCAGAGGCAUCUCAAAUUCUGGCCCUCAGUCCCUCCUAUGGAGGGUGGCCAUGUGUGGUGACACAGUGGCCGUAAGUGUGCCAAGUUUUACAUCUUUAAGGGAAGGAAAGCUCCAGUAUAGUACUUCUAACACUUGUCAACUGGUUUAUCACAGUGUGCCCCACACUAUAUGGGGAGGCAUCCAUUUUUGGCUUUCAUUAUGAUGGUAAGAGCGGCAUUCCUAGAAGUCCUGUUUUGGUACUGGGGAGUGAACCAGGUUACUGGGGUGCUCAACCACUGAUCCACAUCCUCAGGCCAUUUUAUAUAUAUUUAUUUGCUUAGGUCCUCGUGAAAUUGCUGCAGUUCCCAAGUUGCUAGAAUUACAGGUCUGUGCCACUACACCACACUUAAUAGGGGCUUUUAGCUGUUUCCUUGCGUGUUUUUUUUUUUUUUUUGUAUUGGGGAUGCAAGUCACGACCUUGCAUGUGUUAGGUAAGAGCUCUACUGUGGAUCUACCGCCCCCACCCCCUCAGGCCCGUGUGUACAUUUUUUAAACUCACUUCUCCAACAUUCUCUGAUCCGCCUUUUCUUUCUCAUCCUCUACCCUACCCUCAGGCCACAGUCUGACUUCACAGCAAAAUAAAUAAAGCAGUUUUUACCUUGGCCCACUAUAAUUUGUACUGACAGGAGGGCAGCCUCUUGCUAGGUGCAGCUGGGUGCCAGCUGAUUUGAUGCAGCUCAGGGAACUGUCUAAAGUUUAUCUGGAAGGGCACUCUUUAUUCAUUAAAACUACCUAGUGCACAGUUUGCCAAUCCUGCAUGCCCCUCCCCCCGCUUUUUUUAACCAGAGAUUAAUUUGGAGGCACUUAGCCACUGAGCCAGAUUCCCAGACCCCGCCCCCGACUUUUCCCAAAGUUUGAGACUGGCCAGGUACAUUGGCCGACCCCUGUAAUCCCAGCAGGAGGAUUAUGAGUUCAAAACCAGCCUCAACAAUUUAGAGAGGACCUAAGCAAUUUAGCAAGACCCUGUCUCUAAAUAAAUAAAAUAUUUAAAGAGGCUGAUGAUGUGACUUAAUGGUUAAAUGCCACUGGAUUCAAUUCCCAGUACCAAAAAAAAAAAAAAAGAGAGAGACUGGGUCUUGCUAAAAUGCUUUGGGCUUCACUGAAUUGCUGAGGCUGGCUUUGAACUUGAUCCUCCUGCCUCAGUCUCCUGAGCUGUUGGGAUUACAAGUGUCCAGCACAGCUCCCAGCUCCAAUCCCAUUUUAUUUUAUUGGGGGGGGGGGUACUAGGGAUUGAACUCAGGAGCACUCAACCACUGAGCCUCAUGUCCAGCCCUAUUUUGUAUUUUAUUUAGAGAGGGUCUCACUGAGUUGCUAAGCACCUUGCCAUUGCUGAGGCUGGCUUUGAACCCGUGAUCCUCCUGUCUCAGCUUCCGGAGCUGCUAGGGUUAUAGGCCUCCGCCUAUAAUCCCAUUUUAAAAUACAUUUUUUUUGUAAUGCAAAAAAAAAAAGAAAAAGUACAUGUAUAAAGACAUGAAUUGGUGUGAACAUACUUCAUAUAAAAGAUAUGAAAAAUUGUGCUCUGUAUGUGUAAUAAGAAUUGUAAUACAUUCUGCUGUCAUGUAUUUAAAAAAAUACAAUCAAUUUAAAAAAUGAUAUAAAAAUGCAUGCUUUUAUGCCACAGUUUCAACACAAAUGAUAACAGAAAUCCAUGGAACAGAGCUUAAAUUAUAGAAUAAAGUGGGGUUAGGGGUGUAGCUCAGUGGCAGAGCUCUUUCCUAGAGUUCACCAGGACCUGGGUUCGAUUCCCCAGCCCCCUUCAAAAAUAAAACGAAAACAAACCCUACAACCUGAUGUGAAGGUAGACAGAUAUACUAGUAAACUACAGACAUAAAUAGUUAAAGAACUAGAUGUUUUUAUGACCUAAGACAAGCACAGCACUGUCUCCUGGUGUGGAUUAUAGCCUAGUUUUCAAAAGGAAUCGUAAAAAGUAAAGGCAAUAAAAUAUGAUUUUAUUUAUUAUUUUAUUUUUAAAUUUCUAUCAUUGCAGGUCAAAGAUUUUAUUAAAUAAUAACUUUGAGAAAAAGCAACUAUUAACACUGCAAACCUACUAAACCAGUGGAUAUCAAGAUAUUGUGUGUGGUAGUUGGGGCUGACCCUGCUCAUGAUUACAACUGCUCCAUUACUGUGGCUUAGGUCUGAAGGGACCCCAGUAGGUCAAAGCUCAGGUUCAGGAAAUACAGGAAAAACUCGGAGGGAAGUAGAACUAGUCUGUGGAUCGAAAUUAGCAAUAAAAGAUUGGAAAAAGGAUCACAGGGAAGUGAAUAAUUUUGGCGGUCGCUGCUCCAAGGUUCAGCCCUUUUGCAGUUUCUGAUAACCUUGUCAGGUCCCCCAGAUAAAGGCAAGUCUUGUCACCCUUGGGCACCUGGCUGAGAGGUAAUAAAACGGUUGCCUUAUCUCCUACAGGUGGAGUUAAGUCAAACCUCAGCCUGCGGUAAUUACAGUACCCAGGAAUUGCCAGUCCCUUUCCAAAAAAGAGUGGGGGAAGGGAGACUAGAAAAAGCCAGAAGGCAGGAAAUUGUGUUUGUCUCUCUUCUAGGAUUUAAAAAAGAAAGCAAGCAGAACAGCAAGAAGUUUUCCAGGGAGUGAGAAAAACAGGUGGGCUAGCCUCCCCUCCUCUGGGGUUAACAGGAUUGCCCACAGAUCUGGCCCACGUGAUGGUCAAGAAAAGAGGCUCCAGCUGAGGAAAACCCAGGAAAUCUUCUUAGGAACCUUCCUUUCUAAAUGUAAAUGACUGAGUCAUUGCUUUGCUAAGGAGGAGAGGAAGUUGCAAUCAUCCAGUGACUCACUCGCUGCUGUGAGCUCAGGCAGUUGGAUAAAAAGUUUUUAGCAAAAGCGGCAACAAAUCUGCUUUAAAUACUAGCCCAGUAAGGGAAUUCCUCUCUUUCGGGAUGAAUGCCAUCCACACAAAAGAGCUCCUGUUGACGUCUCUUUUACAAUCUCCCCCAGGACACAGACAAGACCUUUUCAAUAAACCCGGCUCAGAAACACCUAUUAUUCAAAAUCUUCCUCUAGCAAGAGGCUUUCACCACUCCCUACGGCUUUGCAAAAUAAAAGAUUUAGAUGGAGAAGGAUUGGGACUAGGGAAGCUGUGGAAAGAGGCAGGAAAGAAGUCCCUUUGACCUGGUGUGGUCUGAGAGUGUGCAAGAAGAAGAAAGUUAAUGGUCUUUCCAUUUUUCUAAGUGUCCAAGAAAUGCUGGUGACUGUCUUGGACCAGUGACUGUGGAUUCUAAACUGGAUGCCAACUAGGUAAAGAAAGUAACUCCUGCCAACAGGAUUGCUCAAUGAAAAACCCAGGCCGAACCGAACCUAUUCCCAGCCUUACAAAAGCCCUAAUAGCAGCCCUGGGAAAGCACAGAUCCUACUGUGCAUCAUCUCCUGUCUCUGGUGUCCUGGUAACUCCCUAACUCCAAGUUUCUCCAUCUUCGGAGCUGUGACUUAUUAAUGAGUCAUGACAUCAGCUGAGGGUCUUAUAACAUUGCGCAUCCUGGCCUGGAACUACAGGUGUUAUGGUUUGGAUGUGAGGUGUUCCCCACAAAGCUCAUGUGUGAGAUAAUGGGAUUUGGAACUGUGGCUGCUAUCUGUGGACCAUCGACCUCAUCUGGCUUCAUUCAGCCAAGCCUGGUGCCCUAUGGCUCUGUGCAGAAGACACAAGAAAAUUUUAAACUGUGUAUUUCUUCCACACCAAGGUCCCAUAUGUCCAAGAAGCAACAUGCCCAAGGCAGGAUAAGGAAGGAAGGAAGGAAGGAAGCAGUGUCUCUAAGAACCACAGUUCACAGUGUCGGGCCUCUAAAGAGAUCUGAAGAAACAGAAACCCAUGAAUCAAGAAUAAGAUAAGGCUAUUUGGUUUGUUUCAACCUGUGUGCCGUUUAGUUCCCUAUCAGAGCCCUGCCUGGAGAAUGAAAUCAUUUCCAUCACUCAGCCCUUCCAAAGAUCAUCAAACACAAACACACCGUCUGCUCUUUCAUUUCCUCUGUGUCCAGGGUGUGUACUGACUUGGUGGAAUUUCUGGGACCAGCUGUGGAUUACGUAUCAAACAAAAAAACGGCCGGAAGUUGGCUCUGGGGAGAGUGAGCCUUAAAUGCUGUUUGCUUACCCUGACUAGGAGUGAGCCUCUGGUGGCUUCUUAGACUGUCUCUGCCUUCCUCCCAGCCUAAGGGACAUAUGAAAAGGCAGUUCUGGGGUGUGGGACCUACUUUCAAUGAUUUGGUUCUCCUCUCACCACAUUCACCCUUAUUGUACCUAGACCAGCUGCUACACCUGGAAAGGAUGGAAGUGAUCUUUUUUAAUCUCUCAAGGUCUUACCCCACUGUCCUGGGCUGAAUUAUGUCCCGCCUAAUUCAUACGGUGAAGUCCUAACCUAACUCUCAGUACCUCGGAAGGUAACCAUCCUUGGAGAGGGGCUUUUUAAAGAGAUGGUCAAGUUAGGAGGAGCUCAUUAGGGUGGGCCCUACACCAGAAUGACUGGUGUCCUUAGAAGAAGAGAUCUGGGUGCACAGGUACAGAUUAAGGGAGAGAGGGAGAGGACAGCCUCCUGCAAGCCAAGCUCAGAGGCCGCUGACACCCUGAUCUUGGACUCAGCCUCCAGAGUGUGAGAAAAUACAGUCUUGUUGUUGAAGCCACCCUGUCUGUGGUGCUUUGUCACAGACCGAGACACCUAUCAAUGGGAAGUUCACAGCCCUGAUGUUGGACUUCAGAAAAGUUUUGAAAGUAAUAACCAAAAAUAUCCAAAGGCAAAAAUCUGGUGUUUUGGUAAAGAUUUUUUUUUUUUUUUUACCGACUUCAGCAGGUCUAACGGAGGCAGUGAAGGCUAGGACCCAGAAUGCCCAGAGAGCAGUAGGGUCACUUACUAGGUGUCUGGGGCAUGAUCAAGAGACACUUCAUAGCUUGGCACUUGUAAUCCCAGCAGCUUGGGAGGCUGAGGCAGGAGGAUUGAAAGUUCAAAACCAGCUUCAGCAACUUAGUGAGGCCCUAAGCAACUCGGUGAGAUCCUAUUUCAAAAUUAAAAAGAAUAAAAAGGGCUGAGGAUGUGGCUCAGUGGUUAAGGGCCCUGGUUCAAUUCCUGAUACCAAAAAAAAAAAAAAAAGUUACUUCAUCCCUUCAAUCCCUCUCCUCUUCUCCUGCUGUUACUCUUUGACUCUUCUUCCCCCCAGCCCUUCCCACAACACUGCUUUAUUAUCCAGUAAGUCAGAAGAAAGGAGAAAUUUGCAUUUGCCCUUCUGACAUAGCAUUGUGCAAAUCCUGAUGCUGUUUUGGGUAUUUUUGUUGGGCGGGCUGGGGGGUUGAUAUGGGUUGAAGAGGCAGCUGCUGGAGUCUAAGCAGGGGGGUGAAUGGGUGGGUGGCAGGCAGAGGGGCCCCUAAAGAUGGUGACAUCCUAAUCUAUGACUGUUAUCUCACAUGACAAGGGGGACUUUCAUGAUGUGAUUAAAAUCUUAAAAUGGAAUGGUCAUCCUUGAUUAUCUCAGUGGGGUCAGUGUAAUCACAUGGGUACUUAUAAAAGGGAGGCCAGAAGUUCAGAGACAAAGGAGACCAGGGAAAGGGGGUGGGGAGGUUUGAAGAUCUAUCCUGCUGCUGGCUUAGAGGAUGGAAUUAGGGGCCACCAGCCAAGGAAUGCAGGUAGAUUGUCAGGGACAAUAAACCACUGAGCCACAUCCCCAGACGUAUUUUGUAUUUUAUUUAGAGACAGAGUCUCACUGAGUUGCUCAGCAUCUUGCUGUUGCUGAAGCUUUGAACUUGUGAUCCUCCUGCCUCAGCCUCCCAAGCCACUGGGAUUAUAGCUGUGUGACACUGUGCCUGGCUGCAGGUAGCUUUUUGGAGCUGGGAAAGGUCUCUAAAGAGAUGACUCGCUGGGUGCCACCUGUAAUCCCAGAAACUCAAGAGGCUGUGGCCUGAGGAUGACAAGUUUGAGGCUCUCAAGAAGAACACAUUAGAGACAUUAUAGGACUUCAGAGCCCAGGGAAGACAUCAACUGGCUCUAAAGCAGACAAACACGGCAGGUGAAUUUUCUGGACAUUUUGAUUUCCUCUUCUGUGAAGGAUCAAGUUUGAAGCAAAUGUGGGACUUGUUUUUUAAAAAAUUUCAUAUUCCUUGUAUUUUAUUUCAGAAACCUUUUCUUAACCCUUUAUCAUUUUUGGAAACUUUAUUGUUGGCUUUUUAUAUUUGAGUCUUAAACUCAACUAGAAUUGAUUAUGUGGGAUAGAGUAAAAGGUUGUGAUGGUUCAUUUUAUGUGUCUACUUGACUGGGCCAUGUGGCACCCAGACAUUUGGUCAAACAUUCUGGGUGUGUCUUUGAGGAUGUUUCUGAAGUGAGUAACAGUUGAAUCAGUGGACUGAGUGAAGCUGACAUGUGAGUGGGUUUCCUUCAACCAGUCGAACACAUGAGUAGAAUGAAAGGGCCAGGUCUGAGGGCACUCCUGAAUGAUGGGUGGAGGUGGGACAUCCAUUUCUCUGGUCUUCAGACUGAGCCUGAAGCAUUUGAUCUUCUUGGGUCUUGAGCCUACAGGCCAGCAGACUCAAACUAUGCCCUCUGCUCUCCUGUUUCUCAGGCUACGAUUGCAGAUCGGAACUACGUGUUAUGGUUUGAGGAUGUGAUAUGCUCCCCAAAGACCAUAUGCCAAAGGUUUGGUCCCCAGACUGUGGUGCUAUGAGGAGGUGGGACCUAGAUGAAGAAAGGAGGUUACUUCAGGAGCGCUUUGAAGGGGACAUUUUGUCUCUGCCUUUUUCUCUCUCUUUGCUUCUCUUUCCUGGACAUCCUGAGGAGAGCAGCUCUGUUCCACCAUGUGGUCACUGCCAUCAUGUUCUGUCUUGUCAAAGGCCCAAAGCUACAAAGUCAAGUGACCACGCACUGACACCUCUGAAUUUGUGAGCCAAGAUAAAUCUUUCUUCCUUUCAGUUGAUUUUCUCAUGCAUUUUGUUACAGUGAUAGAAAGCUGAUGAAUUCACUACAUAUUGACCAUCCUGAGUUCCUCACUUGCUGGCUGUAGAUAUUAAACUUCUCUGCCUACAUAAUUGUUCCAGCCAAUUAUUUAUAAUAAAUGAAUCUUUCUCUCUCUCUCUUUCUUUCUUUUCUCUCUCCCUCUUUCUUUCUUUUCCCCUCUUUCUUUUUCUCUGUCUUCUAUUAUUUCGGUUCCUCUGGAGAACCCUAAUACAAAGGCGUAGAACAAUUUUAUUUUUUCUAAAUAAAUACCCCUUUGUGCCAGCACCAUCUACUAUAAUAUUGUCCCUUCCCCACUGAUCUCAAACCUGCCUCUCAAGCUUCCGUAUGUGCAUGGGACUAUUUUUGUGCUCUCUAGUCUGUUCUAUUGGGCCACUGCCCUGUCCCUGUGUCCACACCACAUGUCUCAUUACUAUAGGCUAAUUAUAAGUCUUGGUGCUUGAUGAGGAAAAUAGUCUCCUCUUGCCCUUUUUUAAAAGAGUGUCUUGGCUAUAUAUUGCACUUUGGAAAUACUUAACAAGACUGUCAGGAUUUUUUUUUUGAGAUUGCAUUGAAUUUAUAGAUCAAUUUGAAGCAA